GGAAUUGGAUUAUUCUCUCUUUUCCUAUUUCCAUUGGAAUUGAAUUAUUUUCUUUUCUCUUUCAAUUACGUGGAAAUUUUGUCCAUUUCAUCUCAAUUUCUUUAUUUUUUCUAAAUUCGUCCAAUUGUUUUUAGGCCUUCCGUUUUUUUAUUGUUUUGCACUUAAGUUUUCAUUUUUUUGUCCUAAAAUUUGUUUUGACUGCAUUUUGGUCCUACUUGAAGCUGUGCGUUUUGGAGGGUAG
rnacentral:lncRNA from 1 species